rnacentral:rRNA from 1 species
GAUGAACGCUGGCGGCGUGCCUAAUACAUGCAAGUCGAGCGAACAGACGAGGAGCUUGCUCCUCUGACGUUAGCGGCGGACGGGUGAGUAACACGUGGAUAACCUACCUAUAAGACUGGGAUAACUUCGGGAAACCGGAGCUAAUACCGGAUAAUAUAUUGAACCGCAUGGUUCAAUAGUGAAAGACGGUUUUGCUGUCACUUAUAGAUGGAUCCGCGCCGCAUUAGCUAGUUGGUAAGGUAACAGCUUACCAAGGCAACGAUGCGUAGCCGACCUGAGAGGGUGAUCGGCCACACUGGAACUGAGACACGGUCCAGACUCCUACGGGAGGCAGCGGUAGGGAAUCUUCCGCAAUGGGCGAAAGCCUGACGGAGCAACGCCGCGUGAGUGAUGAAGGUCUUCGGAUCGUAAAACUCUGUUAUUAGGGAAGAACAAAUGUGUAAGUAACUAUGCACGUCUUGACGGUACCUAAUCAGAAAGCCACGGCUAACUACGUG